rnacentral:lncRNA from 10 species
UUUCAAGGAUAGGUAAAAACCAAAAACAAUAAAAGUACAGGUCUCUCUCUCUCUCUGUCUCUCUCUCUUUCUCUUUCUCCUCUCUUCUCUCUCUUUUUAUGACUGCUAGUACUUGGAAUCCACACACCAUGUUUUGAGGACGCUCAGGCAUAGUAAGCCUGUGUAUAGUUCCUCCACCUGACAGAAAAGUUUCGGUUCACAGUCAGCCUCCAACAUUACACAUGUAAAUAAUGAGCCCUUAUAUGAUUUCAACCCCUAACCUUUGUCCCUAUUAGUCCUGUGCAAAUGGCAGAUGGAUGUUUGUUAUUGUUUUAAGCCACUGCAUUUUGGGGUAAUUGGUUAGGUAGUCGUAGUAACCAGAAGAAAGAGCAACAGGCAUUCUUAUUGUUUCCCUGCUCUUCCAGAAUAUGAACAAACUCCAGAAAGGCAAAACCAAAAUAUGUCUUAUUCAUAGCUGCUUCUCCAGGGUUUGGUAAAUACUAAAAAAAAAAAAAAAAAAAAAGAAAAAAUCAGGUAAAUUAAUGAAUAGAAUUUUGACUAAACUGUUUCAUAAUGAAGCUUACAAGAAUGUUGUGAUGCCUCUCAGAGUCUUGCCUGCCUUGAAAUGCCUUAAAUAUUUAUGCUAGAAAGAAAGAUUUUGUUUACUAUCACAAAUUGGAUGUGUCUUAGAAUCCAAGGAAAUUGCUGGAAACCAUAGAUUAAUAAUAGCCAUAAGAGGCUGAUAACUCACCCUCUCUCAUGUUCUCAUUAGCCCCGGAACAUAAUUUGUUCUUGCUCAGGAAGCAACUUCUCAGUGAUUUGCCUUCUUCAAACC